rnacentral:rRNA from 1 species
UACGGAGGGUGCAAGCGUUAUCCGGAUUCACUGGGUUUAAAGGGUGCGUAGGAGGGCAGGUAAGUCAGUGGUGAAAUCUCCGAGCUUAACUUGGAAACUGCCGUUGAUACUAUCUGCCUUGAAUAUUGUGGAGGUGAGCGGAAUAUGUCAUGUAGCGGUGAAAUGCUUAGAUAUGACAUAGAACACCAAUUGCGAAGGCAGCUCGCUACACAUGUAUUGACUCUGAGGCACGAAAGCGUGGGGAUCAAACAGG